GAUGAACGCUGGCGGCGUGCCUAAUACAUGCAAGUCGAGCGAACAGACGAGGAGCUUGCUCCUCUGACGUUAGCGGCGGACGGGUGAGUAACACGUGGAUAACCUACCUAUAAGACUGGGAUAACUUCGGGGAACCGGAGCUAAUACCGGAUAAUAUAUUGAACCGCAUGGUUCAAUAGUGAAAGACGGUUUUGCUGUCACUUAUAGAUGGAUCCGCGCCGCAUUAGCUAGUUGGUAAGGUAACGGCUUACCAAGGCGACGAUGCGUAGCCGACCUGAGAGGGUGAUCGGCCACACUGGAACUGAGACACGGUCCAGACUCCUACGGGAGGCAGCAGUAGGGAAUCUUCCGCAAUGGGCGAAAGCCUGACGGAGCAACGCCGCGUGAGUGAUGAAGGUCUUCGGAUCGUAAAACUCUGUUAUUAGGGAAGAACAAAUGUGUAAGUAACUAUGCACGUCUUGACGGUACCUAAUCAGAAAGCCACGGCUAACUACGUG
rnacentral:rRNA from 1 species